AAAGUGUAUCGAUUCGCUAAAAAAUCUUGACACCCUGAUCCUGGCAACCCGAAUGCGUCCACAUUAAAUGCCUGUCAAAAAAUCUGACGAGGCAUUGAAUGCCAAAUUCAUUUUUUCACAACUGGAUAUUGGUUUCUACUGAAAGUGUUACGUGCAGCGGUGGUGGCGGCAGAUCAGAAAAUUCAGUUAGCAGACGCUUUUUUGCAACGAUGACUGUUGUUUUAUGUGGUGGGCCCCUGGAUUUAGCAGCUUGGCGAAGAAGACGGCUACGGAGAUUGCUACUGCCUCGGCUGCGACAUCUCCACACUUGAGACACCUUCACAAAAACAUGCAUUAAAGAUGCAGAUUAGACUUUUAGUUGCCCUCAUGGCCAGGCGUCUCAAUCGUGUCCGACUUGACUUUCGUCAUUUCUUCUUCGUUAGCAGGAACCUCGGUUGGGGAUAAGGACGUGGUGGCCAGAGUUGGCGUAGAGUUUGCCAUGUCCUGUUCCUUGUCUUCCGGAUCCAAUAGCUUUUCUUUGUCGAGACGGUGAAAAGCCUCGUUGUAGGGAAAGGAGAAUGUGAUGGCCUGACACCUCAGUGUCAGGUGUCUCAAGUGUGAAGGGGACGCCGCUGAAGGGGUCCCAAAAGCCCACCAGGGAUCUCAACAACAGUAUCACCAUCUUCAAUUAUCGACCAAAGGAACCAAGAGGACGACUACAUUAUGACGGAUAGAGUUAAAUUGAAGGAGAAGGAAACCGAUCGACUGCGCAAUCUUUGUCAUGUGUAGAAGGAACUACUUUUGGAAGAGGCCUGCUGCUCCACCUCAUCAAAACCUGCAACACUGACGAGCUCCGUGAGUUGCAGGCGGUGCUCAAGCAAGAUCAAGAGCACCAGUUCUCCAAACAGGGAUUGUCGGCAGUGGAAAAAUGAAAAAUGCCGAGCCUAACCAGAACAACAUCAGUGAGCUAGGCAGAACCAAGGUCUUGAAGAAACCAGCUCCACCGAAGCUGUUCGAAAAUGCUCAGGUACAGCUCCACUGGCUAAGCGGCCAAAGUUAUUGGAUCCACAAGACGGACCUUCGGACCUCCUUUUUCAACUACGUGACUUCUUACCGGAUCGACUAAGAAGUUAUUGGAUCCACAAGACAGGAAUCAGGAGAUGACAAACUCUACUUCAAAUCUGGCCACCACGUUCACCUCCCACAUCGAGGCUCCUUCUAAAGAAGAAGAAGUGGCGACUGAGUAACUAAAAGUCUAAUCAGUCAAUGCAUGCC